rnacentral:lncRNA from 1 species
GGGGAGAGGGGGGAGGGGGGCUGGGAGCUGGGGAAGGGUAGGUGAAAGUGAACGUUGGGAGAGGAAGAGAGAGCUACUGGAGUGAGAGAGAAAGCAGCGAACUGGAAAGAGAGUGACUUGUGUUAUAACAUGCAUUAACUACCUGCUUCUAUGAAAAUAUUAAAUAAAGCACUACAAAUUAUUGUGAAUUUUCUUUCAUCACAUCGUUUCAGUCCUCGCAGAAUAUCAAAAGUAAAAAUAACAAAUCGAUUCUGGUAAAGUUGAAGUAGCAUGAUUACAAUUUUUAAUGCAUAAAAAUAGAAAUUCUCCUCAGAUGAAUGCAGGAGAACCACAUAAAGCGGACUCAGUGCUUAAAGCAAAAUAGUUGCACUCAUUCACCGAAUAUAUAUAGUGAUUAGAACUCGAAGCUCCACAUUGCACAAUGCUACUACCAAUCUUACAUCGUCCAAGGGGCCAAGAACCAAGAAUAUAUUAUCUAUCAAGGCCUGCAGAAAUUAAGAAAUUAUAGGAAAAACAUGUACAUCUGAAUUUAUUACUUGGUGCAAGCACAAUAUAAUUAUAGUGAGGCUAUAAACUACUCAACAAAAUAAAGAAAUAUAGAUCCUAUUUAAAUAUCGAACAACUCUUUGUUCAGAUACAGAUGUAACUGAAAAUAAUGGUAGAGGAGGACGUAGCCCCUCAAAUAUGUUUGUGAAGGGGAUGAGAUGAUAGAGAUCUGAAGCCAACUUUGGCAGGUUAAUACGAUUAGUUCAUCCAUGAUAUGGUCCUAAUGACGAUACUACAUGUACUUCGUGUGUAUUUCACAAACAAAUUUAGAAAACCUCGUGAAUCGAGUUACUUUAUUUAAUGUUAGAAGCAGUUAUACCGUGGCUAGUUGAUGUGCAUAUCAGUUUCUUGGUGCUAUUUGUAGCUAACAAAACUUUACCUUUCUGAUUAAAACAAAUAAGAGGAGAAAAUAUGGUCAAAGUUUAAAUUAGAGAUUCAAAAACCAUGGACUCAUAUCUGCUGUAGAUCGACCAGAAAAUAUACUUGCCUAAAGAAGGAUCAGGAUUGUUUUGCAAAACCACAUCAUAAAAGUUACAAAAUAUACCUUAAUUUUGAAAAUAUUUUAUAGGCCACAUUUCCCUAAUGUAUGGUUUUAAUAAACUCUAAGAAGAAAAAAUGUAAGGAAAAAAAGUACUUUUUAUUCUUUACAUCAACAAAAGGAAUGCAAUUGAAUUUUUAGUUUGAUAGUUUGAAAUACUUUUCAGUAGCACUUGUAAAUAUUAAUUCUAAUAAGCAUUCAUUUUACGUUUGUGCAGAAUUCAAUUGCAUGGUUAACAAACAUGCACCAGUAACCAUCAUGGCCAUGGUUAAGUAGGCUUUGACACGAGAAAGUAUGUAAGAAUCUAGGAAAAUGUGUUAAAGAACCACAAUUAUAAGGUUAAGAGAAUUAUAUAUGCAUAAUAGUAAAUGAGCUUAGUUAUCAAUGUCAAAGGACACAGUUCAAUAGCGAGAGCCACUUACUUGAAAGUUGAGAUGCUUUCCAAACCACCCCAACAAGACUUGGUGAGUCUCUUCAACAGAUUCUACAAUCACUUCAUCUUCAUAAUGUACCUCAUAAGGCAGCCACGUGCACCCCGUGGCAAAAUCUUCGCAAAUGCAUCAACCUACAUGAGAACUUCAUAAACGUCUCAUUUUUUCUCAUUAACAAUGAUACAUAAUGGUAGUGCACUUCAAAUCUUAUUUAAAAAAAUUUUAAAAUCAGUAAUCAUUGAAAAUCAUGUAUCAUAUAGCUAGACGACACCUCUUAGUCAAUGACAUCAUACUAGCAGAAGUAACUUCAUUGCUCGCAAUGAUACACAGUAAUUCCUACAUCAAUUUUACACCUUAAAUUUCUCAUUACUUCUAGUACAUUAACUUUUUACAGUACUGUGCCUCUUACCAGCAUAAAGCAUAGGAACAAUACACAACUGGAUUGUAUUAUUAAAAAAACGUAUCUUGUCUUGAGCCAUUGGAUUCCUUUCCUGUUUACGGAAACAUGAUGCAUGUAAAAGCAUAUGCCAAAACAUUGAUCCUCAUCAUGUAUGGCACUUUUUAUGGAUGAAAUUCUCUCCUUCGUUUCUCUGCAAUUAAAAGCAACAGUUGUUUGUCAGAUACAUGUCAAAAUGUAAAAGGAUCACCCCUAAGAAAAGAUAUACCUAAUGCCACAAGGUUAUGGAGGAGUCACAAAAGGUAGGGAUCAGAACCCAUUAAUAAAGCAUUAGUUAACUGUGGUAUUGAAAAACAUAAUGUGAUUUAUAUUUAGGGGCAUAUUGUAAUAAGAAAAUAAGAAAUAACUUACUAACAACUAUGUUAAACCUGAAUUUCCUCAUAAAUUUCACUUCUUCUUCGCAUAUCUGAUGUUUGGUGAUACAAAAGUUUGUUGUUGGCAGAAAACACUGCCUAAUUACAGUUACCAUCUCACAGCAUACCCGUAACUACCAUUAAUUAUACAUCACUUAUAUGUACAAAAGGGGAAAAAAAGAAUGCAUAGAAUAAUAAGACCAUAACUAAAGUAAACCAAUAUUGCGAUACUGAUUCUUACAAAGAUACAAUUGUUAUCGAAAUUGCUACCUUAAGCACAUGAAUGAACAGAACCAAUCUUCAAAAGUAGAAUCUUUUUUGGACACAACAUUCCUAGAGUUGGAUUAGAACUUGGUAUGUCAUCAUAUAAUAUUCAAACAGUAGAGUUAGGUUACAACUUCUUUAUCAAAUUAUAGAGUUAGACUAAAACUUGGAUAACAAAGAAAACAAGAGAAAAUCUUCUAAUAUUCAUUAAAUUUGACUUGAGAUGAAUAAGACAAGACAUCGCAAGUACAACUACAAUAGGUUCUAAAGCAACUAUUUCUAGGCUGGCACAUAAUGAGACUGCUUCUAAUUGUGCAACUACUGGAAAAGAACUAUAGCAGGCCAUGACUGAAGGUGCAAAUUUUAAAGGGUUUACUGCUGACUUGCAUGAUAAACGAAAUGCUAGUGAAAUCCAACAAAUUCACAACAGAGUUCGUGAAGUCACUGGGAAGACUACUGGACAUGUUAUGGGUAGAAUUCUUUUUUUUUUCAAAUUUUAUUCACAUCUUAGAUCUAUAAAUUGACUCAUCUCCAUAAAGGAGCCGAAUGAAACCAAAGUUUCAUGUUCGGUUUUGAAUUAGCAACGUUAAAAAUAAUGAAUCGACGUCGACUAUAACCCCUAGCCUUCCAAGCUAACGAUGCGGGNNNNNNNNNNNNNNNNNNNNNNNNNNNNNNNNNNNNNNNNNNNNNNNNNNNNNNNNNNNNNNNNNNNNNNNNNNNNNNNNNNNNNNNNNNNNNNNNNNNNNNNNNNNNNNNNNNNNNAAGUUUAAUGUAUUCAUUAAAUCAAAUUUAGUUUAUUAGUAUUAGUGGCUAGAGAUUGGUCAAUAGAGUCACCUAGUAAAAAAGCUGCUACAACUCAUACAAAACAAGAAAAUACAGCAGAAAACAUUAUAUUGCAUAUCAGAAUAACACACAAGACAGCGAACAUCGAACAUCGAUAGCAAAUAUGAAAUCUCAUGGUUUCUAACACAAAAUCAAUACCUAACAAAUAAAUCCCCCAAUUUCACAAACUAAAAAUCACAAAAUAUAUUGCAUAAUACAAACAAAGCAGAAGCAAAAUAAUGGGUUUAUCAGAAAUAUAAUCAAAGAAAGAAAAUAGAACGAGCAAUGACAUAAUUUUUCAGACUAGGGAAGAAGAAAGCAAAAUCGAAAGUAACAACAAACGUCGAACGGGUAAAAACCGGAAAGCCUACCUCAGAGAUUAUGGUAUGUUAGCUGAUAAUGGUCGUCCUUCACCGGAAAUAAUUGUCCUUCAUCAAAGCUGGUCGACAGAGUUCGCUGGUGUGUUCUAGGUUGAUGAACAGAGAGAGGGGUGUUUGAGAUUUGGGAGAAUCACUAUCUGAAAGUGAAGUCGAUGUCUUCUAGGUUAGUUUUGUCACAACCUAGUCUGAGAGCGAAGUCGAUGAACAGAGAGGGAAGUUUGAGAUUUUGGGGGAAUCGCUAAAUGUGUUUUAGAGUUAUUAAAAUAUUAGUGGAAGUCCAUUAUUUUUGUUUUUCAAUAAAAUACCUAGGAGGGAAACUAAUGAGGGAAAAUUAAACCGUCCCAAUAGCUUUUUAUUUCAUAAAACCAUUCCUAC